AGGACGAACGCUGGCGGCGUGCUUAACACAUGCAAGUCGAACGGGGAUUAGGUUGGAAAGGCUUCGGCCCGGAAGACUUAAUUCGAGUGGCGGACGGGUGAGUAACGCGUGAGCAACCUGUCCCAGACAGGGGGAUAACACUUGGAAACAGGUGCUAAUACCGCAUAAGGCCACGGGGUCACAUGGCUCUGGGGUAAAAGGAGCAAUCCGGUUUGGGGUGGGCUCGCGUCCGAUUAGAUAGUUGGUGAGGUAACGGCCCACCAAGUCGACGAUCGGUAGCCGACCUGAGAGGGUGAUCGGCCACAUUGGAACUGAGAGACGGUCCAAACUCCUACGGGAGGCAGCAGUGGGGAAUAUUGGGCAAUGGGCCGAAAGCCUGACCCAGCAACGCCGCGUGAGUGAAGAAGGCCUUCGGGUUGUAAAGCUCUGUUAUAGGGGACGAAGGAAGUGACGGUACCCUAUAAGGAAGCCCCGGCUAACUACGUGCCAGCCGCGGC
rnacentral:rRNA from 1 species